GAUAUGGAGCUAGCGCUGACAGUGGAGGAGACGCCAGCACUAGCGAUUAGCAUGAGUUUCCAGGGGGCGCCGCAAUGGCUGCUGGGAAAUUCCAUCAGAGGCACGAAUCUGUCGCUUUGUCGUAAAGUGACAGCCCCCUGUGGCACAGCACAGCACAGUAAGAAGAGUCCCAAGUGAGCCUCAGCAUCUGCCGGCUGGAGAAGGUGCGCUGUGAUGUUAUGAUCACCAGUGGAGAGGGAUAUACACAGGGGCUCGCCUGUCUGGAAAAAUAAGCUGGAUGGUCAUUUAAUCCCUCUAACCAGCUGGAAAGAUAAAUAUUCCACGGUGGGGAGUGAGGCCCCUGUGUCUCUCCACUCACACAGACUGGAGAUGAGGGGAAGAGUCUUGCUCUUCACAGAGAUCAGACGCUCAAGUACUUUAAUAAAGUCCUCCACUCUGCCAGACAUAGACAAGGGGAUGGCUGCAGAGACCUAUAUAGGCCCCACACACAUUUAGCACAUUUUGUUUUGAAAAAUGUUUCAUUUCUGUGUUCGCUAACUCUCCUCUGUUCGUACACACACGUUGCGGAAACAAAAAAAUGCUUCCCAUCAAUUUCUGGCAUGUUGCAGCAAUCAAACCUGGAGCAGUUUGGAGUUAAGAGUGUAAACCAAGUGUCAUAGGAAAGUGUCAUCAUUUUUUAACUGUAACUGUGUAAAAAUAUAUAUAGAAACAUUGCAGGGGAAUCCUGUCUCUCUUUGAGUCUUUGUGGUACACAGAGCUGGGAGCAGAGGAGAACAUUGGCAUUCCAGAGGCAGGCAAAGCCCUUCAGACAGCAUCGCUGUUAGGAUGAGUCAGCCUGACCUCACCUCUCAGUUUGGAGACAGCAGCACAGAGGAGUUUUGACUUCACAGAGAUGUUCAGCAGUGGGUCAACCACAGAAGAAGUGAGGGCUUUUAGUGAUUGGUCACAAGAAUCUGAAAACAGGAUAUAACAGUCAGAUGCCUCUCAAACCAAGCAAAAUAUUAUUUGAUAAGCAGGUAUGAGCAAGUCAACUGUAUGACUUUCACAGAUACAAAAAUGUAAUGA